AUUGAACGCUGGCGGCAUGCUUUACACAUGCAAGUCGAACGGCAGCACAGGGAGCUUGCUCCCGGGUGGCGAGUGGCGCACGGGUGAGUAAUACAUCGGAACGUGUCCUGUUGUGGGGGAUAACUGCUCGAAAGGGUGGCUAAUACCGCAUGAGACCUGAGGGUGAAAGCGGGGGAUCGCAAGACCUCGCGCAAUUGGAGCGGCCGAUGCCCGAUUAGCUAGUUGGUGAGGUAAAGGCUCACCAAGGCGACGAUCGGUAGCUGGUCUGAGAGGACGACCAGCCACACUGGGACUGAGACACGGCCCAGACUCCUACGGGAGGCAGCAGUGGGGAAUUUUGGACAAUGGGGGCAACCCUGAUCCAGCCAUGCCGCGUGCAGGAUGAAGGCCUUCGGGUUGUAAACUGCUUUGUCAGGGACGAAAGGGACCGUGUUAAUACCAUGGUCUGCUGACGGUACCUGAAGAAUAAGCACCGGCUGACUACGU
rnacentral:rRNA from 1 species